GAUGAACGCUAGCUACAGGCUUAACACAUGCAAGUCGAGGGGUAACAUGGCGGGAGCUUGCUCCUGCUGAUGACGACCGGCGCACGGGUGAGUAACGCGUAUCCAACCUGCCCAUGACUCAGGGAUAACCUUCCGAAAGGGAGCCUAAUACCUGAUGUUCUGCGACGAUGGCAUCAGAAUUGCAGUAAAGAUUCAUCGGUCAUGGAUGGGGAUGCGUCUGAUUAGGUUGCAGGCGGGGUAACGGCCCACCUGGCCUACGAUCAGUAGGGGUUCUGAGAGGAAGGUCCCCCACACUGGUACUGAGACACGGACCAGACUCC
rnacentral:rRNA from 1 species